CAACCUUGCGGCCGUACUCCCCAGGCGGUCAACUUCACGCGUUAGCUUCGUUACUGAGUCAGUGAAGACCCAACAACCAGUUGACAUCGUUUAGGGCGUGGACUACCAGGGUAUCUAAUCCUGUUUGCUCCCCACGCUUUCGUGCAUGAGCGUCAGUACAGGUCCAGGGGAUUGCCUUCGCCAUCGGUGUUCCUCCGCAUAUCUACGCAUUUCACUGCUACACGCGGAAUUCCAUCCCCCUCUACCGUACUCUAGCUAUGCAGUCACAAAUGCAGGUCCCAGGUUGAGCCCGGGGAUUUCACAUCUGUCUUACAUAACCGCCUGCGCACGCUUUACGCCCAGUAAUUCCGAUUAACGCUCGCACCCUACGUAUUACCGCGGCUGCUGGCACGUAGUUAGCCGGUGCUUAUUCUUACGGUACCGUCAUUAGCCCCUUGUGUUAGAAAGGACCGUUUCGUUCCGUACAAAAGCAGUUUACAACCCGAAGGCCUUCAUCCUGCACGCGGCAUUGCUGGAUCAGGCUUGCGCCCAUUGUCCAAAAUUCCCCA
rnacentral:rRNA from 1 species